AGAGAGCGACGGGCGAUGUGUACACACUUCAGAGCUAAUUUCAAACAAGAAUUAUAUUCUCAAUUUACUUCUAAAUCCACCUUUAUAAUAUAACUACAUAUAUUAAUCCGUAUAAAUUCAAUUUAUUGUAACCCACUUCUCCCAUAUUUAUAGGCUGCACCUUGACCUGAAGUCUUAGAUCUAAACUAAUUAGAUUAUAUUUUUUAAAAAUAAUCUGACAACGGCGGUAUACAAACUGAAAACAAAAAUAUGUACAUUUAAACGAGGAUUAUCGAUCCAAGAGCAGGUUCCUCUAGUAAGAAUAAAGUACCGCCAAAUUCUUUAGGUUUAAAUAAUUUUACUACCCCAGCAAUUAAUUCAAUAAAGAAUAAUAGGGUAUCUAAUCCUAGUUUAAGUCUUUAUUUAAAAAGAUAAUAAAUUCUCAAAAAGUUUUUAAUUUAAAAAAAUAAAAAUUUUACCUUUAAUUUUUUACCCAAAAAAUUUAUCUAAAAACUAAUAUUUACUUAAUUCCACCAAACUACUUCAUUCAGAUCCUUCGUAUAACC
rnacentral:rRNA from 1 species